AGGCGACUUCGGCCCGGAGCUCGAUCCAACAGCUUCCCCUUCCUCUCCGGCGGCCUCGCCGGAGAGGACGGGGAACCCAGAUCUUCCGGGUGCUGUACAUAUUUAGGCCUAGUUUAGCUAAUCUAGGUACUAAAUAAAUUAUUCCAUGGAGGAGUUAAUCCAUGGAGAAGGUAUCUUCCCUACCGACGGCGGCGUUCGUUGUUUCGUCGGGAAGGUGAAGCUUUUGGUCCUCCGUUGCGGCAUCGGCGGGUGUUCCAUCGACUCCGGCGGCCAAUCCGUGAGCAGAUCCAUGCUUGGAAGUCGACCAUGAAGAUGGGAGGUGGCUCUUGCUCGGCGCCGGCGGCUUCCGUCAGUGGCCGGGAUCUACGAAGAAGACGGGACUGUUCUCGAAGAGGGGAGGUGUGCGUUGUAAUUUCCUUUCUUUCCAGGGUGGUGUGUUCCGCAGAGAACCGGGGAUGCACUGUGCUACUGUUUUAAUGGAUUUUCCUUCGCGAAAAAAAGGUUAUUUUUAGAGUAAAGGAGAAUUGGAAACCUGUCACGUCUCAAUGGCAAGACGAAACAUUAUAAUCUUUCUUAUUUUCUUCC